rnacentral:lncRNA from 1 species
CUCACUCUGCGGUGCGGGCCGCGCCCUGGCCGCGCCGCUGCUGCAGGAAGCGCACGCUGUUGCGGCGGUAGGUGUCCUGGGUGAGGCGGUUCCGCGACCGCUGGUGGAUGCUGUGCGCGUUGCGGAUGGUCGACCUCAGGCCAGUGAGAUCCGAGGUCACCGGGGCCCUGGCCGCUCCCAGCGUCCGCGCCGGGCCCGCCCCCCACACCCGGCCCCGAGGACCCUCGCUCACCGGCGAGGCGGCGCCCCUCGGCCCUUGAUCUGGCGCUGCGCCUGCGCCACGUCGUGGCCCGCCUUCUGCAGGAUGGAACCCAGGACCUCCUUCAUGCCAAGUGCCGGCUGUGCCAGGGAGCUGCAUCCUGGGCCACACUUGGGUCACCUGACGACUGGCUGGGCCCCCAGGGGACAGGCUCGGUCCCCCUGUGGGACUCAGUGCCUCAACCAGGGAGGAGCUUCGCUUCAGUCAAGCACAUCUGCUGUGGAUCAUGGCAGCAGGGCCCCUACCCCUAUUGCUGUACACCUGAUCAGGCAGGAGGAGUCCACGCCACUCACGGGCUGUCCCCCGGGCAGCUGCAGGUCGUCGGGCCGCACCUUGAAGAAGCCCAGCAUGUGCGGGCCGCGGGAGAUCUUGGGGGGCAGAGCCAUGAGCGAGGAGCAGUACUCGGACAGCGUCCCCCUGGCGGUUCUCGGCGGCGCGCUGCCCAUCGAACCAGCGCGGAGCUGGGGCGGUGGAGGAUACCGAAGUGAGGGGACCCGGAAGGGUGGGGGACCCCGGGGGAGGUGAGGGGACCCGGAAAGGUAGGGGACCGUGGAGAAGAGGGGGGACCCAGGGCCGCUGGGAGACACAGUGUGUGUGUGUGGGGGUGAUAUGGGGGGCCUGGGCCCGGCCUCACCGGGGAGGUGCGGGAUGAUCCUGUUCUCGGGGUUGAUUUCUCCUGCCUCGAUGGGAAACAUUUCCUUUAAGAUUUUCUAGAUGGGAAAAAUCUCGGUGAACUUCCGGUACACCACCUUCUCCGACAGGUCCUGCCACUUCACCAAGAACAUGUACACCUGCGGGGCGGCCGGGUCAGCUCGGUGGGCCUGGGGCACUGGGCUCAGGGAGAUCCCCCGGGAGCCGGGCUCCAUGGACUCGGAGAUCCCGCUCUUAGCUCUGGGACCUGGGGCAGCUUCUGCCAUGGUCUGGAUGUGCCUUCUGCCCCAAGGGUGCUCAGGGUGGAAACUUGGUCAUCGCGUUGGCCAGGUUAAGAGGUGGCUUUAAGAGGAGGGGGAUGGUGGGCGGUGCUUAGGUCACGGGGCGUGGCCGGGAUGGAUUAAGGUCCGCUCCCGGGUCCCUG